rnacentral:tRNA from 1 species
GGGAAUGUGGCUUAGUGGUAGAGUGCUUGCCUUGCAUGCAUGAGGCCCUGGGUUCAAUUCCUCAGCACCA